rnacentral:rRNA from 1 species
AGAGUUUGAUCAUGGCUCAGGACGAACGCUGGCGGCGUGCUUAACACAUGCAAGUCACGGGGGUCCGCAAGGGCAACCGGCGAACGGGUGCGUAACACGUGAGGGACCUGCCUGGAAAUGGGGGAUAGCCGGCCCAACGGCCGGGUAAUACCGCAUACGCUCAUCGAGGGGCAUUCCUUGAUGAGGAAACCUCCGGGGUUUUCAGCGGGGCUCGCGGCCUAUCAGCUAGUUGGCGGGGUAAUGGCCCACCAAGGCGACGACGGGUAGCUGGUCUGAGAGGAUGGCCAGCCACAUUGGGACUGAGAGACGGCCCAGACUCCUACGGGAGGCAGCAGUGGGGAAUCUUGCGCAAUGGCCGAAAGGCUGACGCAGCGACGCCGCGUGUGGGAGGAAGCUCUUCGGGGUGUAAACCACUGUUGCCCGGGACGAACGAGCGAUUUUGAUCGCUGUGACGGUACCGGGUGAGGAAGCACCGGCUAACUCUGUGCCAGCAGCCGCGGUAAUACAGAGGGUGCGAGCGUUGUCCGGAAUCACUGGGCGUAAAGGGCGCGUAGGCGGCUCGGUAAGGUUGCGGUGAAAGCCCGGGGCUCAACCCCGGGUCGGCCGUGGCAACUGCUGGGCUCGAGCACUGUGGAGGCAGGUGGAAUUCCGGGUGUAGCGGUGGAAUGCAGAGAUCCGGAAGAACACCGGUGGCGAAGGCGGCCUGCUGGGCAGUAGCUGACGCUGAUGCGCGACAGCGUGGGGAGCAAACAGGAUUAGAUACCCUAGUAGUCC